UACGUAGGGUGCGAGCGUUAAUCGGAAUUACUGGGCGUAAAGCGUGCGCAGGCGGUUGUGCAAGACCGAUGUGAGAUCCCCGGGCUUAACCUGGGAACUGCAUUGGUGACUGCACGGCUAGAGUGUGUCAGAGGGGGGUAGAAUUCCACGUGUAGCAGUGAAAUGCGUAGAUAUGUGGAGGAAUACCGAUGGCGAAGGCAGCCCCCUGGGAUAACACUGACGCUCAUGCACGAAAGCGUGGGGAGCAAACAGG
rnacentral:rRNA from 1 species